AUUGGCCUCCUGGUUGGAGGGAAACUCUUCUGGGUCCUUGACGGUAUAACGUCAACCAGUGCUCAGUAGUUUCGGGAUUGGUCAAGUAUGGUACAAACAGUGCCCCCCUAAGUUCCCGAGUGAGGGAAGCUCCUCGGUUGGGGACUUGCAAGAUCCAAGCCGCUGAGUAAUCACGAAACUUCUAAGUACCGAAGUGUGGUAUCGUCUUCACUUGCCUUAUCUAUCUCAUAGGUAGAUGUGACAUCUUCUCUGGAAGUACUUUUCCUUCAUCCAAGGGUGGUAUCUUUAACCGGUGGAGAUGCACAAGGUAAUGUAUCAAUUUAACUUGAAGCUUACUUGUAGUUUCAGGCUUGGUUAAACGUAAUAAAAACCAUGUAGUAGGAGUCCCCCAAGUCACCGAGCUAGGAGAUUUGCCGAAAGAGGUGACAGACAAGGUAAGCAAUCAGAGUUCCAAGCAAUCAGUCCCAGAUCAGAAGUUUGAUUUCGAGUUCCGGCUGAUUGUUCUCAUUCUCCCUAUCUUGCAGGCAGCAAGAAGGAUAAAGAGAAGAAAAAAGAGAAGAGAUGAUAUGAGAUACUUUUGUUUUUGAAGAAGUAACUUUUCACAGGCUUAUUCUUGAACUGGGCUAGAGGGUUUUCUGGUUUCCUUCACAGUAUGAGGCCGAC
rnacentral:lncRNA from 1 species